AUCCAAAUCACCUGGGAUUCUUGUUUAAAUGCAGAUUCUGAUUCAGUAGGUCUGGGGUGAGGCCAGAGAUCCUGCAUUUCUGACAAGCUCCCAGGUGAUGCCAAU
rnacentral:pre_miRNA from 1 species